UACGAAGGGGGCUAGCGUUGCUCGGAAUUACUGGGCGUAAAGGGCGCGUAGGCGGCGCGGCUAGUCAGGCGUGAAAUUCCCGGGCUUAACCUGGGGGCUGCGCUUGAUACGGUCGUGCUAGAGGCUGGAAGAGGUUAGUGGAAUUCCCAGUGUAGAGGUGAAAUUCGUAGAUAUUGGGAAGAACACCAGUGGCGAAGGCGGCUAACUGGUCCAGAUCUGACGCUGAGGUGCGAAAGCGUGGGGAGCAAACAGG
rnacentral:rRNA from 1 species